rnacentral:rRNA from 1 species
UAGCCAGACUCCUCGGGAGGCAGCAGUGGGGAAUAUUGCACAAUGGGGGAAACCCUGAUGCAGCGACGCCGCGUGAGCGAUGAAGUAUUUCGGUAUGUAAAGAUCUAUCAGCAGGGAAGAAGAUGACGGUACCUGACUAAGAAGCCCCGGCUAACUACGUGCCAGCAGCCGCGGCAAUACGUAGGGGGCAAGCGUUAUCCGGAUUUACUGGGUGUAAAGGGAGCGUAGACGGUUGUAUAAGUCUGGAGUGAAAGCCCGGGGCCCAACCCCGGGACUGCUUUGGAAACUGUGUAACUUGAGUACAGGAGGGGCAGGCGGAAUUCCUGGUGUAGCGGUGAAAUGCGUAGAUAUCAGGAGGAACACCGGCGGCGAAGGCGGCCUGCUGGACUGAAACUGACGUUGAGGCUCGAAAGCGUGGGGAGCAAACAGGAUUAGAUACCCGAGUA